AAUUUGCAAUUUUUUUUUUGUUGCAACCGCUUCGGGGAUUGUUCCGGAUUUUCUCGGUCAAUCAGCAUCGAAUUGGACAUCGUUUUUCAACGACGGUGAUUACUGUCCGACCUUUCGUGAAAAAUAGGACCUUCUGUUCUAACAGUAAGUGUCUACACUGGCGCACCGGAAGUUUUACAAAAAUCCGUGUGGACUCUCGGCUACGGCAGCUUGAAUUCCCAGACACAGCGUUCGAAUUCAUGGAAACAAGGAUAGAUUUCAAUCGAGGUUAUGGUCUUUUCGCUUUGCCGCAUCUCCGAAAGAAGGGUGUGGAAAGUGCGGAACGAUUUAAUCUGCUUCUGGCAAAAAUUUCGGAUGGCCAUGGCGUUGACACUGAGGGCGGUGACGGCCAUUUGCCUUGCUGUCGAACAUCUAUGCCAUUUCGUCGGGUCCGGGCAGUCGUUUUUUGGGCAUUAUCGCACUGGAUUUUGGAUUGUCAAAAUAAGUGAGGAAUAUGAAAAGUGAUUGAGCUUCCGUGAAAAUAAGUGAUAUUAAGUUUCCAAAAAAUAUUUUUGUGAAAAUGUUUGUAUUUUUGUGAUUAUGUGAAAAAUAUAUAAAAAUUAUCUCUGAA